GGAGAUGGAGAUGGCGAAGGCAAAUUUUUAGCAUGUCAUCGCUAUCUUUCUCGAGCAAUAGUGGUGCUGGGCAGAUUUAUUGCUAUUGUACGGAACGAUCCAUGGCUAGAACAUCAUGGUCGAUGAAAAAUUUUGCAAGAAGAUUUCGUGGUUGCCCCAAAUAUGACAUUGAUGAGCAGUGCUGGUACUUUGAGUGGAUUGACCCUCUGACAUGCAGAUGUGGGACUGAAAUUAUUUUUAAAAUUUUGAACAAAUUCCAAAAGCUUUAGCAAGUAGCAGAUAUUGUGGAACAAAAGGAAGAAAUUGCUCGUAUGAAGGAGAUGCUUGCUUUGGAAAGAAAAGUAAUAGCUUGGAGAAGGAAAAUGUUCUAUAAGUAUGCAUUGAUUAGAUCUUGGAUAUUUGUUAUUAUUAUUGAUGUUCUGCUACUUGAAAGAAUCGGAAGAACUAGGAAGUAGAAAUGUUUGUCUUAGUAUUUUUCUGUUUGGCUAGUUUUCUAAUUUUUUUGAUUCUAAAAAAUAUAUUCAACUAUAUACAGAAACAUUUCAAGUUAAUGAAUUUUCAUUUGAUCCUU